rnacentral:rRNA from 1 species
GACGAACGCUGGCGGCGUGCCUAACACAUGCAAGUCGAACGGUGAACGAGGGAGCUUGCUCCCUCCGGAUCAGUGGCGAACGGGUGAGUAACACGUGAGCAAUCUGCCCCGAACUCUGGGAUAAGCGUUGGAAACGACGUCUAAUACCGGAUACGACGCGGGAGGGCAUCCUCUCCGCGUGGAAAGAACUUCGGUUCGGGAUGAGCUCGCGGCCUAUCAGCUUGUUGGUGAGGUAACGGCUCACCAAGGCGACGACGGGUAGCCGGCCUGAGAGGGUGACCGGCCACACUGGGACUGAGACACGGCCCAGACUCCUACGGGAGGCAGCAGUGGGGAAUAUUGCACAAUGGGCGCAAGCCUGAUGCAGCAACGCCGCGUGAGGGACGACGGCCUUCGGGUUGUAAACCUCUUUUAGCAGGGAAGAAGCGAAAGUGACGGUACCUGCAGAAAAAGCACCGGCUAACUACGU